rnacentral:lncRNA from 1 species
UGUUUGGUUUCUUGUUUCGGUCUUGAGACAACAGUUACUCACGACUUUAAAAAUGACAAGCAAGAUUAUGAUUGAUUGAAGUCUGUAAGUCUUGUUUAUGUUCAAAGAUUGGAUAAUUGAAUCUGAUUGUCUAUAUAAUGCUGUCUGGGCAGCAUAACUUCAAGUCUCUGCAUAGAAUUGCCUUCAUUAAGGCUUUUCUAAUGAUGUCGUAAGAACGAGAAAUUCAAUGAUAUGCUUAUAAGACUUGUCUAAUGAUGUCUGAAUGGGGAAUUCUCUUGCAAGGAUGGAGGAAUAAGCAAGCAAGCUGUGAUUAACACUGUAACACUUGUCACAGUUCUAUAUAUUGCUAGGUGGGCAGCAUAACUUCAAGUUUCUGCAUGGAUUUGCCUUUAUUUUAAGGCUUUUCUAAAACUCAAUGAUCUGCAAAUUGAUGGAGAGUAAAUUCCAUGUUCUACUAUAGAACUCAAUGAUCUGCUUAUUGAUGGAGAAUAAAUGUUCUUUUAUAGAACUCAAUGAUCUGCUUAUUAAUAGAGAUAAAGUAUCUUUUAUAAGACUUGUCUAAUGAUAACUGAUUGGAAAAUGCAUUAAAACAUGUAGUUAAUCCUCUUUGCAUAGCUCUUGAAACUCUUCCUGUUAGCGAAGGCACAUCAUUGUGCAACGCUUGAUGGGUCGAGGCUCGAGCAAGGCGAGAAAGGGAGAGAGAGAUAAGGCACCAAAGGUAAGUCAUCACGAAUCUCACUGAGAUAUGAUAUUCAGUGGGACAUUUUGUUCUAACUUACAAUAUUCUGCAUUAAAAAGUCCAACGUGCAGACUGUAUCUUUCCCUCUUUUAAUCAGGUAAGUGUCUCUUUCGCCUUCCAAAACAAGUUUCACAAGACCAAGAAAAUGGAGUAAGUGUACGUGAUCUUUCUCAGGAACCGUAAAGAAGGCAUUGUGUACAUGCGUAAGAUAGGCAUGAUUGGAGCUUUUGGGGUGUGCGUCGUCUUCAACACUCCUAUUUCCAAGUAAGUAGAUUCCGAAGUUUACUUAAUACAUUUACGCUUACGCAUGAAUAUUUUUAGAUAUUUUAGUAUUGUUGGCAUAUUUCUCCUUUGGCUGCAAAUUUAAUAUUUCCAUGUGUGUUUUUUUAGGUGGAUUAAUUUUUCCUUUAGAACCAAACCUCAAUUAAGCACCCACGUCUGUAGAGCACACUGAUACAAAUAUACGCAUAACACGAAUGCAUACACUAAACGUAAACAUACACACAAACGUAACUUUUGUGCUCACACUAAUACAAACAUAAAUACAUGACACGAACACAUACUCUAAAUGCAAUUGCUUAUAUUGUAUGAUGAAUGAGUGCUAAACAGAAGUUUAUGAAACUACUUACUAAGGUUUAUAGUUUAUAUAAGAGGCUUAUCAAUGAACUGUUAGAGAAGUUCAUUUCGUUUGAGGAGCGUUACAACACUCAGCUUGCAGCCCUUACCGCAAGUUGCUCCAAAAUCACGUCAGCUCAUAAUACUUAUGCUGACCGAGUCGACACUUUUACUCCAAGGACUUUGCGAACCUCAAGAUCAAGAGGGCGUUUAGAGUUUUUACGACCCUAUCCACCCGACCCUCUGAGUUUCUCAAACUACGUACUGCAAGGCCUCAGCUCCCAAAGUGUAACCGGAGGAAGUUCUCAGCAACCACCAACUGCUCAAAUACCUACCACUUCUGUAGGCUUCAAUGCUUCUAUAACCCAUUAUAGCAAACACUAAUAGAUAACUUUGAAGAAAAUCAAUAUGAUCCCAAAAGAACAAACUAUCCUGGUUUUUCUAUUCUUCAAUCCUAAUUUCCCAAGUUCAACACCAUUUUAGAUCACAUUGUUCACAUCAUAAAUAACUUUGAAAGAAACCAACAAGUUACAUUCUAAACAUUUCGUCCUUUGAAAACUCUUAAAAACACAUUAUUAAUUAAGCAUCAAAGAUUAAUCAUACAGUCACUUUACCUCACAAUUUUAGCAACAAACUCAUCAAUAUUCUUAUCAGAAUUUCCUCCAUCAGACAAAGCUUCCCUUGCAAACUCCAUCAACCUCCGAGCAUUUUUUCUAAUCUCCUUCCCUUUCUCCGACAUAUCUUCCAUAACUUCUCCAACACAUCUCACAAUCUCUUCCUUCGGAACAAACCCAUUUUGAUCUGCCUUAACCCUAACCCCAACCUUCCACACAUCUUCAAUAAACUUAGCAUUAGUCGGCUGGUCGCUAUAAGCCGGCAUUCCUAUCAAAGCAACUCCUAAGCUCAAUGCCUCUAAAGUCGAAUUCCACCCGCAAUGAGUCAUGAAACAACCGAUUGAUUUAUGUGCAAGAACUUGUAAUUGAGGACUCCAAUUCACUAUCAAUCCCUUGUCACAAAUGUCCUCUAUGUAAUUGCUUGGAAGCUUCUUUGUUUCAGUUUCUCUAACAACCCAUAAGAAGUUAUGGCCAGUUUGUUUUAGACCAGCCGCGACUUCUAUCAUUUGAUCGUCUUUUAAGACGGCCAAGCUUCCAAAAGACACGUAGAUCACUGAACCGGGCGGUUUUGAGUCAAGCCAAUCAAGGCAUUCGUUGACUUGGGCAUUGAAGAGGUUGAUUCCGUAGUCUUUGUCACCUGCUAAUCGUUUGUCUAAGUACAUUGAUGGAAUCAUCGGUCCUAUGUUCUUGACCGGCCAUUGGUUUUUCAUCCAUUGUAGCACCUGAAAAAAGGAUUAAUACACGCAUUAAAGAAACGUUGAUAGGUUGAUUGUAUAUAAGAUCAGUUUCAAAAUCAAUCAAAUCAAUUUCAUGCAUGCUUUUAUGUACUUCAUUAAUUACAAUCAUAACAUUUAUUGCAUCUAUAAUAAUUGGUUGUCACCAGUAUAUGACCCACGUCAACUAUUUUCUUCCUAAAACAAGGAAACCUGUUUCAUUUUGAAAUUGAUAGAUAAGCUGAAACCCAUAAGGCCAUACCCCAAAAAGACACUUUGACAUGUAAAUGUGUCAAUCAACCGUCCCGAGUCUCCCGACCUAUCGUGAAAGCUUUCGGACUAAAAUUCCUAGUUUGAACCAAACAUGACCACGUUUUCUAAUAUCAGGAUUUCAGGCUUAGAAAGGACUUCAAGAACAUUAGAUGAAUAGGGACCAGUGGAAGUAAUAAAGACACAAUAAAAAAGGUAUCAUUCCCUUUAAUACACGCAUUAAAGCAAUUUAGCAAGUAUUUUUAAAAACAAAUGUCACAUUUAUACAGUAAUUUGCGAAAAUGCAAACAUCGUUAAGAAAAAUAUGAAAUAAACUAAUGAAUUAAACCAAAAGAAUAAAGGAUAAAACUAAACUAAUGAAACUAGAAUUAAAAAAUAAAUCAAAUUGUUGUGCAAAAUCUCAAUUUGGUCAGGGACACAUCCCCACAUGCCUAGCCAGUAUGUAUGCUUUCAAUGGAAAGGUAAACGGCGUGACACGUAUGUAUAUUUGAGACGAUAUUCGUUUUCUGGCUACAUAUUUGCCACGUUAAAUUAAGACCCCAACCAAUUGCAUAAGAUAUAUUAUAAGUAAUCUGCACCUUGGGAUUUUCGCCCCAAUCGAUAUAUCUAUAUCUUUCGGCCCCAAGAUGAAUGAUGUUCUUUUUGUCCGUUGAAAUAAUGAUGUGUUUUCUAUCUAAUAUCUUUUUGCUAUUAUUAUGUACCAACAUCGAAUUAAAAAAAUUUCACCACGAACCUAGAAAGCUACAAGUCUAGCUACAACUAUAUUGGAAUAAGGACUUAUUUCACAUCAUAUACUAAUUGGUUCAGUAAGAUAGUAGUAUAUAUCAUCCACAAUUAUAUCACCUCCAAAUAUUUUUAUUUGGAUUGCAUUUUGCAGAUAAUUAAGAAAAAUACAAUAAACAACAAAACUCUAAAGUUGAGAAUUACCUCGACUUCGAGUUCGUCGAAAGAGUUAACCAAGAAGAAGUCAAUGUCGUCAACAUUCACGAACUGGCUACUAAUGAGCUCAAACAACGGCCGGCAGAGAUUGUUAUCGUACAGAAACACCGGUAAGUCAUUACCCUUCAGCGGAGGCAUUGCAGGCAAAACGACAUCAUUUUGAAACUCCUUAAACUCUCCACGCAAGAAAUGAAUAUAGGUCGCGUUCACGGUGGAGGACUGAGUGAAAAACGACGCCGCAGCAACGCCAGGAUGUUUCCGGCAAACGUCGAGGACAUAAGGCAGGCACGAGUCGUAAACGACGGCGUUUGGUUUUGGGUCCAUCGAGGAGAUAAGCUCUGAGAGGCUUCGAGAUACGUUUUCUUGGAACUUUGCGAAGUAGUCGGGAGAUGUGUCCGUAGAUGGGUGAUCUUCCUCGAAUCCAUCGUCAAUGGGGACAAAAGAGAGAGGAAGAGCAGUGGCUCCGCCGGUGAUGGCACGGCGGAGGAUGGAGUUGUGGGUGGAGGAAGUGGUGAGGAAUGUGACGUUGACGUUUUUAGAGAGUAGGCGUUUUGAGAAUUGGAGGAGAGGGUUUAUGUGACCUUGUAUCGGAAAUGAGAAGACUAACACAUUUGCUUUCGCUUUCUCUCCCAUUGUUUUUCUCUUCUUUUUGUUGAAAUUUGUUACAUACAAACUCUUACUCUGUUAUGACGGAAGUAUUUAUCGGAUAUAUGCAAGUAUGCAACGUAGAAAAUAGUAGUUAUAGGCAACUUUAAUAUAAAAGAUUUGUUUCUAUAUGUCUCUUUACCAAAUAGAAAAGUUAAAA